rnacentral:ncRNA from 1 species
CCCUUUACAACUACCAACUCAUCACGAAUCUGUGAAAACCUCAUGAGGAAUGAGGCGAUCGAAUCAGUCUUCGACAUCUUAGUGCCCCUCAAUUUCUCCCGGGGCACCAUCUUCCAGUUUUGGUCAGGCCUCUGGUAAAGGCUACGCAAGGACUCACUGGUCGAACAUAGACGAAAGUCGGCCAUAGUGAUCUGGGAGUCCCGCGUGGAAGGGCUCUCGCUCAACGGAUCAAAGGUACGCCGGGGAUAACAGGUUGAUGACUCCCAAGAGCUCUUAUCGACGAAGUCGUUUGGCACCUUGAUGUCGACUCAUCACAUCCUGGGGUUGAAGAAGGUCCCAAGGGUUUGGUUGUUCACCGAUGAAAGUGGUAUGACAUCUGAAAUGCAAAGUCCUUCAUUGCAUCUAGGAUAGUC